AUGAGAGGGAGGCUACAUCUUCGCAAUCGCAGGCAAUGGAGCAUGAUAAGCAAGCGGAGGAGGAUCAUGAAGAGGUGGAAGAGGAUGGGGAGAAGGACGAGGAAGAGCAAGAUACUUUGUUUGAGGUGCCACCUCGGGUUGGUGACAAAUCAGAUUCAGAUGGGUUUGUGGAUAGUGAAGAAGAAGCCUUCGAAGGUGAUAGAAAUGGUGGAAGCCUUGGUGUGCGGUGCUAGUUAUAUCAAAGGUUCUCACAAGGACUUCAAUGUGGUGGAGAGGGAUGAAGAUGAGGAGGACGAUGUUGAGAAUAUCAAGUUGCCCAAGAUUGUUGAUGUGGGGGGUGACAACAAUUGA
rnacentral:rRNA from 1 species